GUUUCAUAUGAUGUCUUAACAGAAAGUUUACUGUACCGUCUCGUCCUCAACGGCACCUUCUGGACGAGUUUCUUCCUCUCCUUCUACAUCUGUCAAGACUUCUUCCUCCAUAUCAGACAUCCUGUUAUCUUUGGAGAGAGUGACCUGGUUGGUCUCCAUCCAGCGGGUGGCCUCCUGUAUGACAUUAAACUCGACGAAGGCGAAUCCUCGGCUCUGACCUGGACACCGCCCAGCGCCAUGGUGAAUUCUCCUUGUCCAGUUUCUCCUCCUGAGAGAAAAGGUCGAGGCACUGCCUCAGCGUCACCUCCCCUGAUGAGCUCUUCUUGGGGAUGGGCAGCGACAGAUCACAGAACACAUCAAAGGUGUUGGAGUAGUGAGAGCACACAGAGCAAUGCAGUGAGCUCCGUAGCUGGCCUGAGAACAGAUCUUGCUUCUUCCACAUGGCUGCUGCCUCUUCUGAAAUCCUGGGAAGAAGAAAAGAGAAGGAUGAAAUUUGAUAAAUUGUAAAACUUUAAGGACAUCAUGUGAAAAUAAUUCUAAAAAUCAGGGGCUGAGAAUCAUCUCAUAGGGAUCCUAACAUAGAUGAGAAUUGAAGUCCUCUAGUUUAAGAUUCAUUAACAUUCACACAGCAAUUUUGAGUGAGGAAAAGAGACUGAAACUCCCUUUCUAGGUAUGACAUUUUUUUCUGAGGCUGUUUGGUUGAUGUGAAAAAUGGAGAAAAAGUGCUCUUUUAAGGUUGUUUCACUCAUGCAAGAAUAUUUCCUGCAAACCUACAUCAAGAUUUCCUGACUUGUUUGUUCACAUUUGCUUCAGAGCGGGAAAUUUUACUGCAUUUUCCCCAUCAGACAAGGGGAAAAUCUGUGUGAAAAACUCAGCUGCAGGUAAAUAAGGGAAGAUUUUCAAGAUUUUUGUACGAGUGUGAAUGGAGGCUUUAGUGAUAGUGUGCAUAGACGUACUGUGAAAAUGAUCUGCUUGAUCAUAAAAUCUUGUUGGACAUUAUUUUAUCAUGAGCCACAUUUCAUGAAAUAAACACCUCUGUUUAAUAAACUGUAAGUGGUUUAGAAGUAUACAGCCUACAAAAUGAUUGAAAACACAUGACUACACGCAUAGCAGCCAGCUCACAUGUUCAUGCAUGUGAGGAGCCUUUAACCAGUAAUCAGCUGCACCCACAUAGUAAGCCACAUUUAAAAAGACUUAACGUGCUGCUUUAAUUUGCACUGAAGAAAAGCCGAAAAUGGACUGAACAGUCAGAAUGUUUCUGCCUGUCCACUUUGAUUCAAUAAAAAUGUUCAUAAAUCA